UGCAUGUUACUGAUUUAUACUGAUUUAUUUGAUUUAAAAAUGGUAAUUAAUUACUUUUUCUUGCCUGGUUAUAGAUUGUUGUCCCACAAAUGAGAAGGAGUUGCAGUUAAUUUUGGUGCUACUAAAACAACCGAUGCUUUUGACGUCUUCGCCUUGCAACAUUAUGCAGUUAAUUUUUGCCGUAACAAUGGGAGGCAAUUAGAAAUUAAUUAAUUAAUUUGGAAGCAACCGGAACUACAAAUUAUCUGCAGUGGUACACUCCUAGAUUUGGUUGUUUUGCUCAUCACACUGGUAGACUUUAGAACGCCACUUUCUACAAUUAAUUGAGGUUAUACAAUAAAUGAGAGAGAAUUAAUGCUCAGUUUGGUUAUAUUGAAACAGCCCGUGUCUACAUGGGUGUGGUCUUUCCUGGAUUAUAUUCUUGAUUUGCUGUUUCAUCUUCGCCUUGUAACAUCAUGCAGUUAAUUUUCAACCUAUGAGCUACUAGUGCAACUGGAUAUUUAUUUGAAUUCCACGGAAAUAAGAAAUUCUCUGCUGCAGUAUUUCUCCUGGAGUUGGUUUACUUUUCACAACUGUAAACUUUGGAAUGUUACGUUCUAUAAUUUAUUAAGAUCGACGUUGGAGAAGACAAAGAUG